AUUCAUUGGUUUGGGGGGAAUUUGUUCAUUUACCUUUUAGAUGAAAGGCUUUUUUAUAUAUCUGGUAUACUCUAGUAUACUGCUCCAGAGAUAAUGAAAAUAGAAAUUUUACCACUCACUUUCAAAGCCUUGAAAAAAAUGAUCCAAAUCUUAAUGGAAUCAUAAAACCACCUUUCUAUGGUGGUCCUAUUAUCUAAAUGUCAGGAGAACUACUCCUCAUUCUAUUUCUUACUAAAUAACUUUGAAACCAUGGUCAGAUCAUUUCCCCUCUCUGGACCUACUUUCCUUAACUAUAAAGCAUCUAGGUAGUGUAAAUGACCUUUCAGGGGCUGCCCCAACAUACUAUUCAUUUAUCAGUUUAUUUCACAGUAGAACAUGCAUUCUAUAAUGAUUUUUAACAAUCUCAAAUUCCAAACCAAAUAUUUCUUUUUCAAUGGCAGGCUUGUUGCUACUUAAAGCUUUUCAUGGAAGCUCUUGACUCAAGAAUGCUACAAAAAUAGGCUCUUGUCCUCUUCUUGCAUCUUGCAGAUGUACAACAUUAGCAUAAAGAGAUGUUGGAAAAAAGGUGCCCUCUUCUACCAUGUAGUUCCUUUGCUGCUACGUGAACCUCAUAUAUUCUCACCUCCUUCUUGAAAUACUUGCAACAGAGUACAUAAAGGAUAGCUGAACAUUCUUUGGAGAGGACAAUUGUAGUUUAAUCCAACCUUUGAAAAAGCUUUGCUCCUCAUUCAAAUUCUUUAGAUGCUCUCAGUGCGUAAACUACAUGUCAUGGUACAUACAAAAGGGAAGAGAAAAACACAAUUGUCAUGGUCAGUUUGAGAUGCUACAACAAAAAUGCCAUAGACUGGUAGACUGGGUGGUUUAAACAAUUACAUUUAUUUCUCACAGUUCCAGUAUCUGGUGAGGGCUCACUUCCUUGUUUGCAGACAGCUACCUUCUUGCUGUAUCCUCACAUUGCUGAGGGAGGGAUCCCGUGUUUCUUCCUCUUUUUAUAAGGGCAUUCAUCUCAUUAUGAAGGCCUCAUCCCAAUGACCUAAUCUAAUCCUAAUUACUUCCCAAAGGCCCCACCUGCAAAUACCAUCACAUCGAGGACUAAGGUUUUACUGUAUGAAUUUUGUGGGGAGGUGAGGAAUAGCAGAUGAAACACAUUUAGUCUGGAGCAACAAUUAACAUUGUUUUAAAAAACCACCAUGUCUUUCAAAAUAUAUGUAUUUUCCCCUAAUGAUUACAUUUGUACUGCACUGUCUACCAAAGCUCAUCAGUGUUACUGAAAUUACAUGAGAGAUAUAAAUCUAAGUAAAUAGAACCCCCUGCCUCAUGGUAAUAAGUAGAAGACUCAGGUAUAAGGCAAGAACAACUCCGUCAAGAUGAGGAAACACAGGCAUUCACAUACCCGCUGAUGCAUGAGGAUAGAGAGCAUGGCCUCUGAGCUCAGGAAGACUGGAUUGGUUUAAUUCCCAGAGCUGAGGCUGUAGUAGAUUUCUUUUUAUUUUCUUUAACUUUAUUUAUUUAUUUAUUUGAGAUAGAGUCUUGCUCUGUGGCCCAGGCUGGAGUAUAGCGGCACAAUCAUAGCUCACUGCAGCCUUGAACUUCUGGGCUUAAGCAAUCCUCUUGCCCCAGCCUCCCAACUAGCUAGGACUACAGGUUCAUGCCACUGCACCCAGCUAAUUUUUAAAAUAUUUUAUGGAGAUGAAGUUUCACUAUGUUACCCAGGCUGAUCUCAAACUCCUGGCCUCAAACAAUCCUCCUGCUUCAGCCUCCCAAACUGCUGGAAUUACAGGCAUCAGCUAGUGUACUCAGCCCUUAGCUUUCUUUCUGACAUAAUUUUAGAUUUAAAGAAAAUUUAAAAAUAAUAAUAGAAAGAAUUCCAGUAUAUCUUCUCACAGAGUUUUUCAGUGUUAACACAUUACUACAUUUGUUUUAUCACUCACAAACAUACACAUAUUUUUAUUGAAACAUUUGAAAUUAAGUUACAGACAAGAUGACCAUUGAUUAUUCAAUGUGUACUUUCUAAAACAAGAACAUUCUGUUACAUAACCACAGUAUAAUUACAAAAUCAGGAAAUUAACACUGAUCUACUUCUACCAUUUAACUGUCAAAUUGCCUUGGUGUUUCACUCCUUGUUCCUAUAUUGCUCUUUAUAACAAAAGAAAAAGUUGGAUUAUAUGUUGCUUUCAAAAUAGGCCAGGCACGAUGGCUCACAUCUAUAAUCCCAGCACUUUGGGAGGCUGAGUCGGGCAGAUCACCUGAGGUGAGGAGUUCGAGACCAGCCUGACCGACAUGGUGAAACCCCCAUAUCCACUAAAAACACAAAAACUGGCCGGGCGUGGUGGCGGGCGCCUGUAGUUCCAGCUACUCAGGAGGCUGAGACAGGAGAAUCACUUGAACCUGGGAGGCGGAGGUCGCAGUGAGCCAAGAUUGUGCCAUUGCACUCCAGCCUGGGCGACAGAGGGAGAUGCUGUCUCAAAAAAAGUAAAAAGAAAAAAAAAAAAGUCUGGUGGCUGAGUGCAGUGGCUCACGCAUAUAAUCCCAAAACUGGGAGGCCGAGGUGGGUGGACCACCUGAGGUCAGGAGUUUGAGACCAGCCUGGCCAACAUGGUGAAACCCCCUCUCUACUAAAAAUACAAAAAGAAGCCUGUAAUCCCAGCUACUUGGGAGGCUGAGGCAGGAGAAUCUCUUGAACCCAGGAGGCUGAGGUUGCAGUGAGCUGAGAUUGCGCCACUGCACUCCAGCCUGGGCAACAGAGCAAGACUCUGUCUCAAAAAAUAAAUAAAAUAAAAUAAUAGCUUAGUUAUUUUUUAGUAUACCUCUCAUCGUGGGGUCAUCUGGUGGUUUCUUAUGAUUAGUUUCAGGUUAUGCACUCUUGACAGAAAUAACCAAGAAGUUAUGUUGUGUUUUAAACAUGCAUGAGGUCAGGAGGGAAAUGAUAUUAUUUGUCCUAUUCGUGUAGAUAUUAACUUUGAUCAUUGGUUAAGAUGAUGCCUGUAGGCCUCUCCAGUGUAAACAUGUCAUUUUUUUCAUUUGUAAUAAAUAUUUUUUUCAUUUUAUUUUAUUUUAUUGUUGAGACAGGAUCACUCUCUGUAACCCAGGCUGGAGUGCAGUGGUGCAAUCUCAGCUCACUGUGGCCUCAACUUGGGGCUCAAGCGAUCCCUUCUACCUCAGCCUCCUGAGUAGCUGAGAAUACAUACACGCACUACCACACCUGGCUAAUUUUUUUUUUAGAGAUGCGGUCUCACUAUGUUGUCCAGGCUGCCAUUGAACUCUUAAGCUCAAGUAAUCCUUCCACCUCGGCCUCCCAAAGUGCUAGAAUUACAGGUGUGCACCACCAUGCCCAGCCUAAGUAAGUAUUUUUAUGGAGCAAAACUUUUGGGGCUAGAUAAAUAUCUUAGUCCCAUUAAUGUUUCACCCACUAGCUUUAUUAUCUAUUUAUAAUUCUUCCUUUAAGCAAUUAAUACUGUGAUGUUUGCAAAUGAUUUCUCUAAUUUUAUCAUUCCUGCCUCAUUUAUUAGGUGGCCUUUUACUCCAAGGAAGAGCUUUUACUUCUUCCACAUUUAUGUAUUUGUUUAUUUGUUUAUAUCAUUCUGUAUAUCUGUAUGGAGUUCAUGUUACAAGUUUCCUAACCCUCAGGAACCUCAGUUCCUCCUCUGUAAAAUGGCAAUGAAAAUAUUUACCAUCUAGGUUUGCUGUGUAGAUUAAAUAAGCUAAUAUAGGUAAGGUCCUCCAAAUCAUGAGAAUCACAUAAAUUGGAGCUACUUAUAUUAGUAAUAAUAAUAAUAAUACUUGUCUGACUUUUAAUAUAGUGAGAACAGUUCAGGGUCAUCUUCUGUCAGUACUUUAUGAACUUGAACGACCCAUUUAACCUCUCUUGCUCUCAUUCUUCUC
rnacentral:lncRNA from 10 species